UAUACCUCAGCCUUUCUCCCUACCGUUUGUGAUUGUUGGCGCGGCAGUGAGGUGUGGACUUUUGUAAGGAAAAAGUCAGCGCCCGGCCUCGGGGAGAGCUCUGCAGACUCGGACCAGCACCACCGGCUCUGAAUUUUCUAGAGUUUGAACCCUUCAGAUAGAAGAAGGCCAAGGAAGACUGAUCGGUUCUUACAUUUCUGAUAACAUGGCCCAAUUUCAGGAAUCAGUGACAUUCAGGGAUGUGGCCAUAGCCUUCGCUCAGCAGGAGUGGGAGAGUCUGGAUUCUGUUCAGAGGGUCUUGGACAGAGAUGUGAUGUUGGAGAACUAUAGGAACUUGGUCUCCCUGGGUCAUUCCUGUUCUAAACCACAUGUGAUUACCUUAUUGGAACAAUGGAAGGAGCCCUGGAUGAUAGUGAAGAAAGAUCAAGGAAGACAAUACACAGUUUCAACGUAUUCCUGUUAAUGAAAAUAGAAAUAUCAACCAAUGUUCAUUUUAACAAUAGGCAAAAGAUAUGAAUGGACAUUUCACCAAAGAAGAUAUAUGGGUGGCAAAUAAACACAUAAAAAAUGCUCAAAAUUAUGAGUCAUUACAGAAAUUCAAGGUAAAACCACAAUGAGAUUCUACUACAACAUGCCUAUUAGAAUAGCAAACAUUAAAAACACUGAUUAUAGCAGUUGCUGGUGAACAUGUGGAAGAACUGGAACUCUUAUUCAGUGCUGUGUGAAACACAUAUGGUAUAGCCGCUUUAGAACACAAUUUGGCAGUUUGCAAAAUUUUUAAAUAUUCACCUGCCCUGUGACAAAGGCAUUGCACUCCUACAUAUUAACACAAGAGAAAUAAAAGCGUAGGCCCAUAUGAAAACUUGUACAUUCAUGGUCAUAGUAGCUUAAUUUGUAAUAGCCAAAAGCCUGUAUGUCAUUUAACAGAAGAAAGUGUUUAAAAAUUGCAGUGCAUUUGAUUAAGGAAUCUGGGAGGAUGGUAGAGCAGGAAGAACCAGGAACUUGUCUCCCCAACUAGACAACAAUUGUAUUGACAAAAUGUAUCUUAUAUACCUAUUUUGGAACUCUGGGGUCUGUUCAAAGGCUUACAACUUCCAGAGGAAAGCUUAAGACAGUAAAUUGCAGUUAAUUUUGGUCAAUUUCAGCCCUUAGCACUGUAACAGCUACCCAUCCCCCACACACUUGCCCUGUGGCUGGCAGUUCUGCAUGUGUCCCUGGAGCAGCUUGCACGCAGUUGGUGGGAACCUGGGUGAAACCCUGCUCUUUAAAUAUUGAGGACUUGUGCUGUGAUCUAUUGCUGCUUCUGACUGCAGAGGUGAAGACACAGAAGUGAGCAACCAUUUGUGUAAAUGUCAUCGCAUUGUUGCAAGCCCCUCCCUCUCCAGUUGAAGCGACUUCCAGGGGAUUUGCACCAGCACAUGUUCCCCCCUUCAUUUUUCUCUUUUCUCCUUUUGGAAGCCAGAUUUUUAGGGCUAAGACAUUUCAAAGCAAUCACAUAUACAGGGGAAUUUGGAAAGUCAUGACACAUGUAAAGGCACAAGCUCAGAAAAGACCUGAGAAGACCUUAAGUUUACACCUCAGGUUGAUCACCAGCAGAGACAGUCUACAACAAUUAAAAAAAUUUUUAAAAUAAAAAUGGCAAACCUUGCAGGGCAGAAAUUGAGACACAGAUGUAGAGA